rnacentral:rRNA from 1 species
CCUACGGGGGUCAGCAGUGAGGAAUAUUGGUCAAUGGGCGCGAGCCUGAACCAGCCAAGUCGCGUGAGGGAAGACGGCCCUACGGGUUGUAAACCUCUUUUGCCGGGGAGCAACGGGCGCCACGUGUGGCGCCACUGAGAGUACCCGGAGAAAAAGCAUCGGCUAACUCCGUGCCAGCAGCCGCGGUAAUACGGAGGAUGCGAGCGUUAUCCGGCUUUAUUGGGUUUAAAGGGUGCGUAGGCGGAGCGUUAAGUCAGUGGUAAAAUUGAGGGGCUCAACCCCUUCCCGCCAUUGAAACUGGCGCUCUUGAGUGGAAGAGAAGUAUGCGGAGUGAGUGGGGAAGCGGUGAAAUGCAUAGAUAUCACGCAGAACCCCGAUUGCGAAGGCAGCAUGCCGGCUUCCUACUGACGCUGAAGCACGAAAGCGUGGGGAUCGAACAGGAUUAGAUACCCUAGUAGUC